rnacentral:rRNA from 1 species
UCCUGCCAGUAGUCAUAUGCUUGUCUAAAAGAUUAAGCCAUGCAUGUGUAAGUUUAAGUAUUUUAACGCGAAACUGCGGACAGCUCAUUAAAUCAGUUAUAGUCUAUUCGGAGAGCCAAGUUAAUCGGAUAACUGCAGUAAUUCUGGAGCUAAUACGUGAAACAAGCCGAACAGGUGAUACUUUUCGAAUUAACUAGGUACUUUGGAUGAUUCAGAAAAUGUUAUCGGAUCGCAUGCCCUUGAGGCGGCGACAGUUCGUUCGAAUAUCUGACCUAUCAAGCUUCGAUGGCAGUUUAGUGGACUGCCAUGCUUGCAACGGGUGACGGGGAAUUAGGGUUCGAUUCCGGAGAAGGAGCCUUAGAAACAGCUACUACUUCCAAGGAAGGCAGCAGGCGCGCAAAUUACCCAAUAGUAAUUCACUGAGGUAGUGACAAUAAAUAACAAUGCUGGCCCUCUCUGAGGGCUAGCAAUUGGAAUGAGUGCAAUUUAAAUCAGUCAACGAGGAACAAUUGGAGGACAAGUCAGGUGCCAGCACCCGCGGUAAUUCCUGCUCCAAUAGCGUAUAUUAAAAUUGUUGCGGUUAAAAAGCUCGUAGUUGGAUUGAAGGAGGUGAGCGGGAAGGUCUGCCUCACGGCGUGACCGCCUGCUAGCUUUCUGAAUGCCCGAUCACGAUUGGGAUGGCCUUAACUGGUUGUUCUGCGUGAUCGAGCCGUGUACUUUGAAUAAAUUGGAGUGUUCAAAACAGGCGCUUGCGCUCGGACAUUUUAGCAUAGGAUACUGGAAUAGGGCAUAAGAGGUUUAUUUAGUGGCCUCUUGUGCAAUGAUUAACAGAAACGGUUGGGGGUGUUCAUAUUUAUUAGUCAGAGGUGAAAUUCUUGGAUUUGAGAAAGAUGCACUGUUGCGAAAGCGUUCAUCAAGGACGUUUUCAUUGAUCAAGAACGAAAGUUAGGGGAUCGAAGACGAUCAGAUACCGUCGUAGUCUUAACUAUAAACGAUACCAACUGAUACUCGAAGGAUGUUUUCAAGGUGACGCCUCCGGCGAUCUAGAGAAAUUAAAGUCUCUAGGUUCCGGGGGGAGUAUGGUCGCAAGGCUGAAACUUAAAGGAAUUGACGGAAAGGCACACCAGGAGUGGAGCCUGCGGCUUAAUUUGACCCAACACGGGAAAACU